ensembl:lncRNA
UGAUAGCCUAUGCUCAGUAGUUAGGUACUCUGAAAAAAAACUCCACACUGAACACAUUCUGAUUUGGGAAUUACAUCUGAAGUAAGCUGGCAAUAGUGAUAAUUCAGAAUUUCUCAUAUUGUAAGCAGUCCAACAACCUUUUUUGAGCAUAGAACUGGCUUGAAAGAAACUGAAACUCCUUUCCAGAUGGAUGAUGGAGUUUUGCCCUCCUUGUCUUUUGUUUUCACUCUAUCUUAUACUGUAAAAAGGAUUUUUUAAAAAUUGGAAUACCUUUAUCAACAGAUUGCUCGCUAUAAUUCAGGAGAAAAAUAUGCCCAAUUACCCAAAACCAGCAAGGACACAAAUACCUAUAACAUACAAUCUGGCAAAAGAGACCAAAUGGAUUAUUCUCGAAGAUUCAAUGUCCAUUUGGGAUUGCCAGAUUCUGCCAAAAUGUUAAAUAUUAUGCCCCAAAGCCAGAGGCAGAUCUAAAACUCAGGAUUUUAAUUAUUCAAAGCCAAAUUAUAUCAAGCCAAAAUUCUAAUUUUAGAGUAUAAGAGUUUAGAAUUACAAGAAAAUAUUUGUAUGGCCAUUUGGCCAUUUAUUAAAUUUGUCAACACAUGUUACCUAGUUUAGUAAAUGACCAUGUUUGCAAAUGAUCACUCAGACUGAAUACUGCAUCAAAAGGUGUCCCUUAAGUCUAUGUCCCAAAUUAUGCUAGUGCCAAUGUUUUUUAUCUUACUUCUUUCUCCUUGCCCUCAACCUAAUCAUCUCCAGGCUCAAGUGCCUUUACAACAUGACCUAGUUGAGCGUAGUGAAACAGGACAAACUAGAAUCUGUGACCUAGAAUUACUUUUGCCAAGUGAAGUAGGGUAGGUACUAGAGAGGUAGAACCAAGCUAUAGGUGCUAAAAGAAAGUUUAUUCUAGAAAGUUAAGGAUUAAUGUGAUUUCACAAGUUAGGGAAACAGACAGCAAAUGAUAUUCCAGGUACAGACAAGUGAUUAGAAUAAGAUAGAAAAGAGAAACAAAUGCAUAUAUUAUAUAUAUGUGAAAUGCAGUAGCAAAAAACGGUAGCAGAACAUGGCAUAGAAGGUAGGAGCAUAUGUCAGGAAGAAGAAAAGGAGGGGAGAGGGAGUGGCUGGGAUCCCAUUCAUCUGAGAGAAGGCUCACCAAGUGCAGAUGUGGAUACUACAGACAUAUACGUUUUAUAUUCUGUGCUAACUACACUUUAGGAUGUCUAUUUUUAAAAGAUCACCUCAGGCCAGGUGCGGUGGCUCAUGCCUAUAGUCCUAGCACUUUGGGAGGCAGAGGUGGGUGUAUCAUUUGAGGUCAGGAGUUCAAGACCUGCCUGGCCAACAUGGUGAGACCUCGUCUCUGUUAAAAAUAGAAAAAUUAGCUGGGCGUAGUGGCAGACGCCUGUAAUCCCAGCCAAUUUGGAGGCUGAGGUAGGAGAAUCCUUUGAACCCAGGAGCUGGAGGGUGCAGUGAGCCAAGAUUGUGCCACUGCACUCCAUCCUGGGCAGCAGAGUGAGACUCUGUCUCAAAAUACGUAAAUAAAAAAAAAUUAAAAAAAAAAAG